CCUACGGGAGGCAGCAGUGGGGAAUAUUGCACAAUGGGGGAAACCCUGAUGCAGCGACGCCGCGUGAGCGAUGAAGUAUUUCGGUAUGUAAAGCUCUAUCAGCAGGGAAGAAAAUGACGGUACCUGACUAAGAAGCCCCGGCUAACUACGUGCCAGCAGCCGCGGUAAUACGUAGGGGGCAAGCGUUAUCCGGAUUUACUGGGUGUAAAGGGAGCGUAGACGGCAUGGCAAGCCAGAUGUGAAAGCCCGGGGCUCAACCCCGGGACUGCAUUUGGAACUGUCAGGCUAGAGUGUCGGAGAGGAAAGCGGAAUUCCUAGUGUAGCGGUGAAAUGCGUAGAUAUUAGGAGGAACACCAGUGGCGAAGGCGGCUUUCUGGACGAUGACUGACGUUGAGGCUCGAAAGCGUGGGGAGCAAACAGGAUUAGAUACCCUGGUAGUCCACGCCGUAUUCGAUCAUACUAGGUGUCGGGUGGCAAAGCCAUUCGGUGCCGCAGCAAACGCAAUAAGUAUUCCACCUGGGGAGUACGUUCGCAAGAAUGAAACUCAAAGGAAUUGACGGA
rnacentral:rRNA from 1 species